rnacentral:lncRNA from 1 species
CGUGGUGGGCAUGGUGAUGGGACUGCGGAUUCGGUGCGACGAGGGCGAGUCGCUGCGGGGCCAGACCACGAGCGCCUUCCUCUUCCUCGGCGGACUGCUGCUGCUGACCGCCUUGAUAGGCUCCCCAGCUGCCCUCCCAGGAAACCCCGGGGACCUCUCGGGGACUCCCCAACACACUAACGACUCCCGCAGACCCGGCAGAGACCCCCUUGGAGCCCCAAACCCCAGUCCCCGGGGCCCUCCCGGCCAUCCGCCCCAGGGCCCACCUUCCUCUCCCUGCUCCGCACCCCCGUCCCCCCAGGCUUCUGCUUUCUGCUGGCAGACAUGAUCAUGCAGAGCACCGACGCCAUCAGUGGAUUCCCCGUGUGUCUGUGACUGCAGCCUGCCUGGGGCAGAAUAAAGGAACGGCUUUUUUUA